UACGGGGGGGGGGCAAGCGUUUGUUCGGAAUUACUGGGCGUAAAGGGCUCGUAGGUGGCCAACUAAGUCAGACGUGAAAUCCCUCGGCUUAACCGGGGAACUGCGUCUGAUACUGGAUGGCUUGAGUUUGGGAGAGGGACGCGGAAUUCCAGGUGUAGCGGUGGAAUGCGUAGAGAUCCGGAAGAACACCGGUGGCGAAGGCGGCCUGCUGGGCAGUUGCUGACACUGAGGCGCGACAGCGUGGGGAACAAACAGG
rnacentral:rRNA from 1 species